AUGAAGUUCACACUCCAUUUUUGGGUUCUUUUCUGUUGUCUGUAUGCACUAAGCAAGAAUAUCUAUGCGAGGCCCGAUACAGUGAGCGUUGGAGCUCUUUUCACAUUCAAUUCCACGAUAGGGAGAGCUGCCAAGAUUGCCAUUUCUGCUGCUGUCAAUGAGAUCAACAACGAUUCAAGCAUCCUUCCAGGCACAAACCUGGUUGUCGAGAUGCAAGAUUCCAACUGCAGUGGCUUCGUUGGCAUUGUGCAAGCAUUGCAAUUCAUGGAGAAAGAUACAGCUGCAAUCAUCGGCCCACAAUCUUCUGUCAUCGCGCAUGUUAUUUCUCAUGUUGCAAAUGAACUUCAAGUGCCUAUGCUGUCCUUCGGUGCAACUGAUCCAACUCUCACGUCACUUCAGUUUCCUUUCUUGGUGAGGACAACCCGUAGUGAUCAUUUUCAAAUGGCUGCUGUUGCUGACUUAGUCGACUACUAUGAGUGGAAGCAAGUGACAGCUAUAUAUAUAGAUGAUGAUUAUGGAAGAAACGGCAUAGCCUCUUUAGGUGAUGAACUUGUCAAGAGGCGGGGUAAGAUUUCAUAUAAAGCUGCAGUUAGACCAGGAGCAAAAAAGAGUGAGAUGGCUAGUGUGCUGGUCAGGGUUGCAUUGAUGGAAUCUCGAGUCGUAAUUCUGCAUGCAAAUCCUGACUCUGGGCUUGCACUUCUCUCAUUGGCACGCAAUCUCGGCAUGACCUCAAGCGGGUAUGUGUGGAUUGCAACAGAUUGGCUCAGCUCAAUCCUGGAUUCAUCGCCACGUCUUGACAUCGGAUUACUGAGCACAAUGCAGGGUUUUCUCACAUUACGCCAGCACACAGAAAAUACAAGAAGGAAGAGCAUGCUAGCUUCAAAAUGGAGUGCACUGGUGAAGAAGGAUAGUGUUGACGACCUGUUCUUGAUUAAUUCGUAUGGGUUUUAUGCUUAUGAUACUGUCUGGAUCCUUGCUUAUGCGCUGGAUGCAUAUUUCAGUAGAGGUGGAAACAUUUCUUUCUCAAACGACACCAAGCUACAUGAAGUUGGGGCAGGGGGUCUGCAAUUGAAAGCUAUGACUGUCUUUGAUGGGGGGAGGCUGUUACUAGAAAGAAUCCAGCAAGUGAAUUUCACGGGUGCAACUGGCCCUGUAAAAUUUGAUACAGAUGGUAAUCUUAUCCGUCCUGCGUACGACAUUGUUAACAUAGUGGGAUCUGGUCUGCGGACAGUUGGUCACUGGUCCAACUAUUCUGGCCUGUCCACCUCGUUGCCUGAGACUCUUUACAUGAAACCAGCAAAACGUAUUAGGGGAGAUCAGAAACUCCACACUGUGAUAUGGCCAGGUGAGACUACAGUAAGGCCACGUGGAUGGGUGUUUCCCAACAAUGGAAUUGAGCUGAAAAUUGGAGUUCCCAAUAGGGCAAGUUAUCGUCAAUUUGUGUCAGUUGACAAUAACAGUGGAACGGUGCGUGGUUUCUGUAUUGAUGUGUUUGUUGCUGCAGCCAACUUGUUACAAUAUCCAGUUCCAUUUAAGUUUGUUCCGUUUGGGGAUGGUAGUCAGAAUCCAAGCUAUCCAGACCUUAUCAACAAUAUUCUAACGAAUGAAUUCGAUGCUGUGGUAGGUGAUAUAGCUAUUGUCACAAACCGGACAAGGGUUGUUGACUUCACUCAGCCAUAUGUUGAGUCAGGACUUGUGGUACUUACCUCUGUUAAGAAGCAAAGCUCGAGUGGAUGGGCCUUUUUGCAGCCAUUCACCAUCAAAAUGUGGUGCGUCACAGGGCUGUUCUUUCUUGUCAUAGGAACGGUGGUUUGGCUGCUAGAGCACAGAAUCAAUGAUGAUUUCCGCGGGCCUCCAGUGAAACAGGUUAUCACUGUAUUCUGGUUCAGUUUCUCAACUCUGUUCUUUGCGCACAGAGAGGACACGAGAAGCACCCUUGGCCGCUUCGUGAUCAUCAUAUGGCUCUUCGUGGUUCUGAUCAUCCAGUCCAGCUACACUGCCAGCUUGACCUCCAUACUCACCGUGCAGCAGCUCAUAUCUCCAAUCACAGGGAUCGAUAGCUUGGUCGCCAGUGACGAGCCCAUCGGGUUUCAAGUCGGCUCCUUUGCGGAAAGUUACCUCGUGAACGAGCUCGGUGUCUCGAGACACAGGCUUAAAUCCCUCGGUUCUCCGGACGAGUAUAAGCAAGCGCUUGAGCUUGGCCCUGCCAAUGGAGGCGUCACUGCCAUCGUCGACGAGCGUCCCUAUGUUGAGAUCUUCUUGCUUCUGCAUCCCAAAUUCGCAGUCGUGGGCUCGGAGUUCACCAAAAGCGGCUGGGGCUUCGCGUUCCCGAGGGACUCGCCGCUGGCGGUGGACCUGUCGACAUCCAUCCUGGCGCUGUCGGAGAACGGCGACCUCCAGCGGAUCCACGACAAGUGGCUGGCGAACGACGCGGCAAUGUCCACGUCUCAGAACAACGAGCUGGAGUCGGACCGGCUGCAGGUGUACAGCUUCUCGGGGCUGUUCCUCAUCUGCGGCGUGGCGUGCCUCGUCGCGCUCGCCAUACACGCCGGCAUCCUCUUUCACAAGUACUGCGAGCAACGGCGGCAGAUGUCGGCCGACGGCAGCUCCCGCUCCAGCCGCAGCAGUUUCCGCGCGUUCCUGUCGUUUGCCGACCGACGGGAGAUGGACACCCAUAUAGCGUCCAAGGACAAGGCAGGAGGAGAUCACUCCAUUAGCGCGAGGUCGAGUAGCAGCGUCAGCACUGCCGCGUCGUGCUAG
rnacentral:rRNA from 1 species